rnacentral:rRNA from 1 species
GCACAAGCGGUGAGCAUGUGUUUAAUUCGACGCAACGCGAAGAACCUUACCUACUCUUGACAUCUACAGAAGAACGCAGAGAUGUGUUGUGCCUUCGGGAACUGUAAGACAGGUGCUGCAUGGCUGUCGUCAGCUCGUGUUGUGAAAUGUUGGGUUAAGUCCCGCAACGAGCGCAACCCUUAUCCUUAGUUGCCAGCGAUUCGGUCGGGAACUCUAGGGAGACUGCCGGUGAUAAACCGGAGGAAGGUGGGACGACGUCAAGUCAUCAUGGCCCUUACGAGUAGGGCUACACACGUGCUACAAUGGUAUGUACAGAGGGAGGCAAGCUGGCGACAGUAAGCGGAUCUCUUAAAGCAUAUCGUAGUCCGGAUUGGAGUCUGCAACUCGACUCCAUGAAGUCGGAAUCGCUAGUAAUCGCAAAUCAGAAUGUUGCGGUGAAUACGUUCCCGGGCCUU